rnacentral:rRNA from 1 species
CCAAUAGCGUAUAUUAAAGUUGUUGCAGUUAAAAAGCUCGUAGUUGAAUUUCGGGGUUCUACCGUUGGUCGGGCUAACCAGUCUGUACUAGCGUGUAGAAUUCCUACCUUCUGGAGAACCAUCAUGUUAUUAAUUUAGCGUGGUGGGAAACCAGGACCUUUACCUUGAAAAAAUUAGAGUGUUUAACGAAGGCUUACGUAUGAAUACAUUAGCAUGGAAUAAUAGACUAGGACGGUGGUCCUGUUUUGUUGGUUUCUAAAUCACCGAAAUUAUUAAUAGGGAUAGUUGGAGGCAUUAGUAUUCAAUUGUCAGAGGUGAAAUUCUUGUAUUUAUUGAAGACUAACUUCUGCGAAAGCAUUUGCCAAGGAUGUUUUCAUUAAUCAAGAACGAAAGUUAGGUGAUCGAAGACGAUCAGAUACCGUCGUAGUCUUAACCAUAAACUAUGCCGACUAGGGAGCGGACGAUGUUAAAUUUUAUUGACUCGUUCGGCGCCUUACG